rnacentral:misc_RNA from 1 species
GAUGAAGAACGUAGCGAAAUGCGAUAAGUAAUGUGAAUUGCAGAAUUCAGUGAAUCAUCGAAUCUUUGAACGCACAUUGCGCCCAUUAGUAUUCUAGUGGGCAUGCCUGUUCGAGCGUCAUUUCAACCCUUAAGCCUAGCUUAGUGUUGGGAGACUGCCUAAUGCGCAGCUCCUCAAAACCAGUGGCGGAGUCUGUUCGUGCUCUGAGCGUAGUAAUUUUUUAUCUCGCUUCUGCAAGCCGGCCAGACGACAGCCAUAAACCGCACCCUCUCGGGGGGCACUUUUUUAAUGGUUGACCUCGGAUCAGGUAGGAAUACCCGCUGAACUUAAGCAUAUCAAUAAGCGGAGGA